CUGGUAAUACACUACUUUCCAGUUCCACAGAUUCAUUUUUCUUCACUUCCAGUGUUCAGCAUGCAGUUGUGAUGGUCUGAGAAAUUAUAAUAUCUUGGGGGCAGAAGCUGUGCCUUAUAUGGCCACAGUGACAGCAUAGAAAGCAAAGAAGGAACUAGGAUGCUAUUUUUUAGGUGAGUAGCUUGCUGACAUUUUGUUUCAAGUUCUUUAAAUGACUCUUUCCCUCUCUUU
rnacentral:lncRNA from 12 species